rnacentral:lncRNA from 1 species
AAAAAAAAUUUUGAAGCAAAAAAAAUUUUGUUUGGACUUGUAAUAUUUUUCAAAAUUGAAUAUCGAAAGGAAAAAGGAACCGAAUAAGGAAAUGGAAAUCGAAUAAGGAAAUGGAAAUCGAAUAAGGAAAUGAAAAUCCAAUAAGGAAAUAGAAACCGAAUAAGGAAAUAGAAACCGAAUAAGGAAACAGCAAUCGAAUAAGGAAAUGAAAAUCGAAUAAGGAAAUAGAAACCGAAUAAGGAAAUAGGAAAAAGGAAUGAAUAUUGGAAAAGAAAAGAAACCAAUAAGGAAAUGGAAAUCGAAUAAGGAAAUGGAAAUCGAAUAAGGAAAUGAAAAUCCAAUAAGGAAUAAGGAAAUAGAAACCGAAAAAGGAAAUGAAUAUUGAAAAAGAAAAAGAAAAACCGAAUAAGGAAAUGAAAAUCGAAUAAGGAACUAGAAACCGAAUAAGGAAAUCGAAACCGAAUAAGGAAAUAGAAACCCAAUAAGGAAAUAGAAACUAAAUAAGGAAAUAGAAACCGAAAAAGGAAAUGAAUAUUGAAAAA